rnacentral:rRNA from 1 species
GACGAACGCUGGCGGCGUGCUUAACACAUGCAAGUCGAACGGAAAGGCCCUGCUUUUGUGGGGUGCUCGAGUGGCGAACGGGUGAGUAACACGUGAGUAACCUGCCCUUGACUUUGGGAUAACUUCAGGAAACUGGGGCUAAUACCGGAUAGGAGCUCCUGCUGCAUGGUGGGGGUUGGAAAGUUUCGGCGGUUGGGGAUGGACUCGCGGCUUAUCAGCUUGUUGGUGGGGUAGUGGCUUACCAAGGCUUUGACGGGUAGCCGGCCUGAGAGGGUGACCGGCCACAUUGGGACUGAGAUACGGCCCAGACUCCUACGGGAGGCAGCAGUGGGGAAUAUUGCACAAUGGGCGGAAGCCUGAUGCAGCAACGCCGCGUGCGGGAUGACGGCCUUCGGGUUGUAAACCGCUUUCGCCUGUGACGAAGCGUGAGUGACGGUAAUGGGUAAAGAAGCACCGGCUAACUACGUGCCAGCAGCCGCGGUGAUACGUAGGGUGCGAGCGUUGUCCGGAUUUAUUGGGCGUAAAGGGCUCGUAGGUGGUUGAUCGCGUCGGAAGUGUAAUCUUGGGGCUUAACCCUGAGCGUGCUUUCGAUACGGGUUGACUUGAGGAAGGUAGGGGAGAAUGGAAUUCCUGGUGGAGCGGUGGAAUGCGCAGAUAUCAGGAGGAACACCAGUGGCGAAGGCGGUUCUCUGGGCCUUUCCUGACGCUGAGGAGCGAAAGCGUGGGGAGCGAACAGGCUUAGAUACCCUGGUAGUCCACGCUGUAAACGGUGGGUACUAGGUGUGGGGUCCAUUCCACGGGUUCCGUGCCGUAGCUAACGCUUUAAGUACCCCGCCUGGGGAGUACGGCCGCAAGGCUAAAACUCAAAGGAAUUGACGGGGCCCCGCACAAGCGGCGGAGCAUGCGGAUUAAUUCGAUGCAACGCGUAGAACCUUACCUGGGUUUGACAUGGAUCGGGAGCGCUCAGAGAUGGGUGUGCCUCUUUUGGGGUCGGUUCACAGGUGGUGCAUGGCUGUCAUCAGCUCGUGUCGUGAGAUGUUGGGUUAAGUCCCGCAACGAGCGCAACCCUUGUUCACUGUUGCCAGCACGUUAUAGUGGGGACUCAGUGGAGACCGCCGGGGUCAACUCGGAGGAAGGUGGGGAUGACGUCAAGUCAUCAUGCCCCUUAUGUCCAGGGCUUCACGCAUGCUACAAUGGCUGGUACAGAGAGUGGCGAGCCUGUGAGGGUGAGCGAAUCUCGGAAAGCCGGUCUCAGUUCGGAUUGGGGUCUGCAACUCGACCUCAUGAAGUCGGAGUCGCUAGUAAUCGCAGAUCAGCAACGCUGCGGUGAAUACGUUCCCGGG